GUAUCUGUGGUGCAAUGAAAGCGUGUCUAGUUCCAGAUCAGAAGGUUACAUGUUUGAUUCACGUCGGGUUCA
rnacentral:tRNA from 1 species